UGGAAACGCCUCCACCCUGCCUCUCCUGGCCAUGGACUCCAUGCUCCUCUGCUGUGUGGCCUUUUGUCUCCUUGGAACAGGGUACAUAGAUGCUGGUGUUUUCCAGACCCCAAGGAAUAAGAUUGCAGAGACAGGAAACAGCAUUUUUCUGGAAUGUUCUCAGAAUGAGGAUCAUGACUAUAUGUACUGGUAUCGACAAGACCCAGGACUGGGGCUACGGCUGAUCUACUACUCGUACAGUGAAAAAAUUUACAAAGGAGAUGUCCACAAUGGGUACAGUGCCUCUCGAAAGGAGCAUGCAAAAUUCCCCCUCUUUCUAAAGGCUGCCAGCCCAAACCAGACAGCUGUUUAUUUCUGUACCAGUGGCCUCACACAGCGUUUCUUGGCCACCUGCUCUCCAUACAGAAAGAGAAGCAUGUGGGCAAGUCACCUGGAUGCCAGAGCUAUCCAGAACCUAGAGACAUAG